UGAACCUCAAAACCUCCUCCGUUUUAGUCGCAAAUUUCUAAACCUAUAAAUAUGAAUGAAGACAACACCAAAUCUCAUCGCUCUCUCUCUCUCUCUUUUUCUGUCAAUAAUCUCAUUGUUCUCUCUACUUCUUCGCUUUCUUUAGCUUUCAAACAAGGGUGAAGAGAAUGCUAUUGCCGAUCUCAUGUUUCUCAGUUGAAGACCGGUCAUUGAAGGCAGACAGUUGUUAGGCGUCCACUUUGUUUUGGCAAGGCACGAGGUGCGAAAAGAGAAGGGAGCUCAUGCGGGAUGAAAAAUGGUAAGAGCUCCUGGUAUGGGUCUAUUUCUUUUUAACACAUCUGGUAUGAGUCUGUUAAAGAUUCAACUGUCUGAACCGAGCUCCGUAGCAGAAGGUGUGUCAAUGUGAGAAUGUUCUGGCUCUGCCUCUACGUUUGAUGAGGGAGAAGAGAAAAUGGGUUUAAAUUAUCUUGAAAAACAAACCCCUUUAUUUCGGUUUAAUAAAGGUUUUGAUUCAAAAUUCUUUUUCAUAUGCAGCAGAUGAAAGCCUGCAGUUAAUCAAGUUUUAAUUUUUGAAAAUUAUGAUACAGAAACUGAAACCAUACCUUCACCAGCAGGGUACUCAACAACAUUUGCAGAAAGAGUUUGUGGGAAUCCUUGGUAGACAAUCUUUUGAGAGAGUUGACAGUGUGAUUAAAUCUUUCCGCCGUAAAUUUGGAUUUGUGAGUCUGUAAUUUCCUAACGUCUAACUAACUGGAAAGUAAAUUAUAUGGUGAACUAAAGAGAUGAGAACAGUUUCCAGUACUGUUGAAUGGAAAUGAUGUAAAUCAAAGCUACCUGCCUACCUUCUCGACCUGUUUUUUUUUUGUGUUGAACCUGGUGAGUUUAUGAGCACAGAGCACUUGCUGAGUUCCUCUACGUUUACGUUCUUUGGAGUUUUCAAGUGUGUCUCCUGCUCUAUGUAUACGAUUUUGUCUUCACCAUAUUCGGUAAAGAGUAUGUAUUGUUAUUUUUCUUCUGUAAAUUUUAACUUAAUUAGUCUUCAGAUGCUAUAGAUGUAGAUGUCGAUGAAGUA